CCGCCGUUAGCUUAUUGGAAAGAGCGCUGGCUCUAAUGCCAGAGGACGGGGUUAAAUUCCUUGACGGCGGA
rnacentral:tRNA from 1 species